ncrna:unclassified sequences pemK RNA
ACAAUGAUACUCCCUUACAGUCACAGCUUGAGCGUUAGAAGUGUCGUACGCAAUGAGUAGGGUUGGAUGAGAACCAUGCAAGGGUGAGAUUCCCGUGG